rnacentral:rRNA from 1 species
GACGAAGGGGGCUAACGUUGUUCGGAAUUACUGGGCGUAAAGCGAGUGUAGGUGGUUGUCCAAGUUGGAUGUGAAAGCCUUGAGCUCAACUCAAGAAAUGCAUUCAGGACUGGGCGGCUAGAGGACCGGAGAGGAUAAUGGAAUUCCCAGUGUAGUGGUGAAAUACGUAGAGAUUGGGAAGAACACCAGUGGCGAAGGCGGCUAUCUGGACGGUUUCUGACACUAAGACUCGAAAGCGUGGGGAGCAAACAGG